rnacentral:rRNA from 1 species
GACGAACGCUGGCGGCGUGCCUAAUACAUGCAAGUCGAACGCAGUGGGGACGGGUGAGUAACACGUGGGUAACCUCCCAUCAGAGGGGAUAACACUUGGAAACAGGUGCUAAACCGAUACUGCUGGAUGGACCCGCGGUGCUUUAGCUAGUUGGGGAGGUAACGGCUCACCAAGGCCACGAUGCAUAGCCGGACGGAGAGGGGGAGCGGCCACACGGGGAUGGAGACACGGCCCAGACUCCUACGGUAGGCAGCAGAAGGGAAUGUUCGGCAAGGGACGAAAGUCUGACCGAGCAACGCCGCGUGAGUGAAGAAGGUUUUCGGCUCGUAGAUCUCUUUUGUUAGAGAAGCGGUAUCUAACGAGAAAGCAACGGCUAACUACGUGCCAGCAGCCGCGGUAAUAC